ACGAAGGGGGCUAGCGUUGCUCGGAAUCACUGGGCGUAAAGCGCACGUAGGCGGAUUGCUAAGUCAGGGGUGAAAUCCUGGAGCUCAACUCCAGAACUGCCCUUGAUACUGGCGAUCUCGAGUCCGGGAGAGGUGAGUGGAACUGCGAGUGUAGAGGUGAAAUUCGUAGAUAUUCGCAAGAACACCAGUGGCGAAGGCGGCUCACUGGCCCGGUACUGACGCUGAGGUGCGAAAGCGUGGGGAGCAAACAG
rnacentral:rRNA from 1 species